CAUAUGGACUAAGGUUAUAUGAAGUCAAAAAAUUAAAUUGGGUGGCAAUUUUAAGAUAAAGUAGAGGAAUAUGUUUAUUAAAUCGAUUUUGCGCGAUUAAUCUUACCUUUUAUUGAACAGUCAUUUCAUACACCUCCGUCUGAAGCGUUUAUUUAAAACUCCUUAACUUUUUAAGUAUUAAGUCAGGUCAAGGCAUGAAUAAUUAAAAGGUUUAAAUGUAUUCUAAUUUUAUAGACGGAUUAUUCUUGUAAUAGAAUAAGAUAAGUAAAAUUUACAAGUAAC
rnacentral:rRNA from 1 species